GGAGAUGGUAGCUCAGUGGUAGAGUGCAUGCGUGCUAUGUAUGAUGUCCUGGGUUCAAUCCUCAGCUUCUCCC